rnacentral:tRNA from 1 species
UCCUUUGUAGCUCAGUCAGUAAAGAAUCUGCCUGCAAUGCAGGAGACCUGGGUUCAAUUCCUGGGUCAGGAA